AUUUUUUUAAGCCCAAAACGAAAAAAGCCCCCGCAAGCACCGGGCCUUACAUAAGGAAGCCGCCUAACGCCUUCAUGGUGUUUAUGAAAGAGCAGCGACCAUUUGUUAAGGCUGCUGCAGAAGGGAAAGACAGCACCACUGUCUCUCCUGGGUCAGAUGGUGAGUGUGUUUGCCACCAUCAUGUCCUCGUCAUCGCUUGUCUGCUGUCAGUUUGGGAUUGCGGGCUGACACUUUGAUUGUGUCCGUACGGAAGUCGCUGUCGCUGGCCCGGCAGCAGCCAUAUUACGCUGAAUCUGAACGGCUAAGCCGGAUCCACGCAGCCAUGAACCCAGACUGGAACUGCAGAGACAACUAUGUGAGUCCCAGAUUCAUUUAGUCGUGAUACAGUGGAGCGCAUGGAGUCAACAAUUACUCGAAUAUAUAUAUUUUUUUAACUUUUUGUUUGUUGUUUUUGUUUCGGGGAAAAGGCCAAAGAGGAAGUGGUGCCGUGCGGCCACCAGCCAAAAUCAUUUGAGCGAAUAUCAUCUAAGCGGUCAGCAGCGCACGCCAAAGGCGACCGUCGACCUAUCUUUUGGAGGGAUGAUAGGGCAGACAUUCUACUAGUGCCCGAGGGUGUCAUUACUCCUGUAAUUGAGCCAGCGAUUUCAAAGGCCAAAACGAAACAACCCCCCGGAAGCACCGGGCAUUACAUCAGAAAGGUGCCUAACGCCUUCUUGGUAUUUAUGAAAGAGCAGCCUCUUGUCAUGGCUGCUGCGGAAGGGCAAGUCCCACUGUCAACAGGCUCCUGGGUCAGAUGGUGAGUGUGUUUGGCACCAACACAUCCUCCUCCUAGCUUGUCUUCUGUCAUUUUGCCAUUGCGCGCUGACACUUUGAUUGAGUCUGCAGUGGAAGUCGCUGUCGCUGGCCAAGCAGCUUGAAUAUUACGUUGAAUCUGAGCGGCUCAGCCGGAUCCACGCCCCCAUGUACCCGGACUGGAACUGCAGAGACAACUAUAUGAGUCCCAAGGAGUCAACAUUUACGGAAACGUUUUUUUUUUUUAAACUUUUUGUUUGUUGUUUUUGUUGAGGGCAAAAGGCCAAAGAGGAAGUGGUGCUGUGCAGCCACCAGCCAAAAUCAUUUAAGCGGUAAGUACACUAUAUCUGAGUAACUGUUUUUAGUUACGAUAAAUCUACCCAGAGUACUACGUUGCUCCGAAAUGCUCCCUUUGCAAAAAUAAUAUAUAGGUGUAUCUCAGCAAUAGUAUUUCAUUUUCGUCGUUAAAAUUAUAUCGCCUUGCCUUCUGACUUUUUCAAAAUUUCCUAAUAAAUGAAAAUUUCUUACAUGUAUUGCACUCAAAAAAUGACUUACUGGAUGAACACAAAUACAUUUUGGUCAGGUUUUCCAUCAAUUCUAACUGUGCAAUUCCAACACAUGCCUAGUACUGUACUUCCAUGUGAUGUUGUAUAAUCGAGUUGGUCUC